rnacentral:pre_miRNA from 1 species
AGCCUUCUAUAUCCGUUCUGAGAUUUCAUCAGAGAUAAACCCAUUGGCGUUGGCUGAUGCAACUUUACAAAUAAGUGAAGCG